UACGAAGGGGGCUAGCGUUGCUCGGAAUUACUGGGCGCAAAGCGCACGUAGGCGGAUCGUUAAGUCAGGGGUGAAAUCCUGGAGCUCAACUCCAGAACUGCCCUUGAUACUGGCGAUCUCGAGUUCGAGAGAGGUUGGUGGAACUCCGAGUGUAGAGGUGAAAUUCGUAGAUAUUCGGAAGAACACCAGUGGCGAAGGCGGCCAACUGGCUCGAUACUGACGCUGAGGUGCGAAAGCGUGGGGAGCAAACAGG
rnacentral:rRNA from 1 species